CUAAAUACUACCCAGUGACCGAUAGCGUAUAGUACUGUGAAGGAAAGGUGAAAAGCACCCCGGGAGGGGAGUGAAAAAGAACCUGAAACCCUGUGCCUACAAGCACCUAGAGCGCGUCAAAGCGUGAUAGGGUACUUUUUGUAGAACGGUCCGGCGAGCGAUUGUAUGCAGCAAGGUUAAGGACUUAAGGUCUGGAGCCGAAGCGAAAGCGAGUUUGAAAAGGGCGUUAAGUUGCAUAUAAUGGGCCCGAAACCGGGUGACCUACCCAUGGUCAGGUUGAAGUGGAAGUAAAAUUCCAUGGAGGACCGAACCGACCUCCGUUGAAAAGGCGGCGGAUGAACUGUGGGUAGCGGAGAAAUUCCAAUCGAACCCGGAGAUAGCUGGUUCUCCCCGAAAUAGUUUUAGGACUAGCCUCAAGUUAGAUACCUGGAGGUAAAGCACUGAAUAGCCUAGCGGCCGAGAGGUUAGCGAAGCUUAUCAAACUCAGAAUGCCAGAGUAUUGAUGCUUGGGAGUCAGACAGUGUCAGAUAAAUGUCAUUGUCAAAAGGGAAACAGCCCAGAUCUACAGCUAAGGUCCCAAAGUCAGGUUAAGUGGAAAACGAUGUGAAGAUACGCAGACAACCAGGAUGUUGGCUCAGAAGCAGCCACUCAUUCAAAGAGUGCGUAAUAGCUCACUGGUCGAGCGUCUUUGCGCGGAGAAUUUAACGGGGCUAAACCUGACACCGAAGCUUAGGCAAUACAGCAAUGUAUUGGGUAGGGGAGCGUUGUAUACGCGGAGAAACAGUAGCGCAAGCGGCUGUGGAGUGUAUAGAAGUGAGAAUGCCGGAAUGAGUAGCGCGAAUGCAGUGAGAAUCUGCAUGGCCGAAAGCCUCAGGUUUCUGGAGGAAGGUUCGUCCGCUCCAGGUUAGUCGGGAGCUAAGGUGAGGCCGGAAGGCGUAGCCGAUGCACAGACGGUAGAGAUUCCGUCACCACCAAAAGAGUUAAGCACAGGGACACAUAUGAAGUCUCAGAGCCGGGUGUUGGUUCCGGUAGAGAUCGAGGGAAGUUAGUACCGAAGUCUGAGAUGGAAGAUGGCGAGAAAAGCUGUGUGUAUUUCUGAGGUGCCCGUACCGCAAACCGACACAGGUAGGUAGGAAGAAGAUUCUAAGGCCAACGGGAGAAGGGUUGUUAAGGAACUCGGCAAGUUGACCCCGUAACUUCGGAAUAAGGGGUGCUCACGAGAGUGAGCCGCAGAGAAUAGGCCCAGGCAACUGUUUACCAAAAACACAGGUUUGUGCUAAAUCGAAAGAUGACGUAUACGAGCUGACGCCUGCCCGGUGCUGGAAGGUUAAGAGGAGAUGUGCAAGCAUUGAAUCGAAGCCCCAGUGAACGGCGGCCGUAACUAUAACGGUCCUAAGGUAGCGAAAUUCCUUGUCAGGUAAGUUCUGACCCGCAUGAAAGGCGUAAUGAUUUGGGCACUGUCUCAACAGCCCGCCCGGCGAAAUUGUAGUACCGGUGAAGAUGCCGGUUACCCGCGACAAGACGGAAAGACCCCAUGGAGCUUUACUGUAGCCUAAUAUUGGGUUUCGAUGUUGCAUGCACAGGAUAGAUGGGACUCUGGGAAACCAAGGCUUUGGCUUUGGCGGAGAGGCCGUUGGGAUACCAUCCUUGCGAUAUUGGAAUUCUAACCUGCGGCUCUGAAUCGAGUCGGGGGACAUUGUUAGGUGGGCAGUUUGACUGGGGCGGUCGCCUCCUAAAGA
rnacentral:rRNA from 1 species